rnacentral:misc_RNA from 1 species
AAGUCGUAACAAGGUUUCCGUAGGUGAACCUGCGGAAGGAUCAUUAACACGAAUUUUAUCCAAUAUAAAACCAAACGUGAACUUUUCCCCUCCCUAUUCAACAACUUUAGUUGUUGUUUAGGCUAACCCCUUUUUUAACUACUAUAUAUAAUAGUAAUAUAUAUAUAUAUAUAUAAUAGUUUUCAACCCCUAAAACUUAACUCUAGUUUGUACAAGGGAUUAUUCUCUUCUUACAACUACUAACACUAAAAAAUGUCAUAGAAAUAUGGCUUUUUUUCGAUAUUACGAAAAUUAAGAACAACUCUUAACAAUGGAUAUCUUGGUUCUC